CGGAUCCAUACUGAAACCUAGUGAUGUAUGGAUUAGUGGCGGACGGGUGAGUAACGCGUGGAUAACCUGCCGUAUACAGGGGGAUAACACUUAGAAAUAGGUGCUAAUACCGCAUAAGCGCACGGUUCCGCAUGGAACAGUGUGAAAAACUCCGGUGGUAUACGAUGGAUCCGCGUCUGAUUAGCCAGUUGGUGGGGUAACGGCCCACCAAAGCGACGAUCAGUAGCCGGCCUGAGAGGGUGAACGGCCACAUUGGGACUGAGACACGGCCCAAACUCCUACGGGAGGCAGCAGUGGGGAAUAUUGCACAAUGGGGGAAACCCUGAUGCAGCGACGCCGCGUGAGUGAAGAAGUAUUUCGGUACGUAAAGCUCUAUCAGCAGGGAAGAAAAAAAGUCCUUUGGACUUUGGACGGUACCUGACCAAGAAGCCCCGGCUAACUACGUGCCAGCAGCCGCGGUAAUACGUAGGGGGCAAGCGUUAUCCGGAUUUACUGGGUGUAAAGGGAGCGUAGACGGCAGCGCAAGUCUGGAGUGAAAUGCCGGGGCCCAACCCCGGAACUGCUUUGGAAACUGUGCAGCUCGAGUGCAGGAGAGGUAAGCGGAAUUCCUAGUGUAGCGGUGAAAUGCGUAGAUAUUAGGAGGAACACCAGUGGCGAAGGCGGCUUACUGGACUGUAACUGACGUUGAGGCUCGAAAGCGUGNGGAGCAAACAGGAUUAGAUACCCUGGNAGUCCACGCCGUAAACGAUGAUUACUAGGUGUCGGGGGGCCAAGGCCCUCCGGUGCCGCCGCAAACGCAUUAAGUAAU
rnacentral:rRNA from 1 species